AUUAUAACAAAUACUACAGCAAAUGGAUUUGGUACUUAAUAUUUUAUUCUACUCUUUUUUUUAUUAUUAUUUUGCUCAGUUCAUACCCCUUGGAAGCUCACUAGAGUUAGAGGGCUCACAUCCUGGAAAAUCUGUUCACUGCAGACCUGCUGCUGCUGCUGCUUGUACACAGUAGCCUGUACAGACAGGUCUUGAAGCUUGAGGUCUUGUGAAGGAGAUCAAGUAAUGAACAGGUUGAUCUGAAAGCUUCUAGCAUCUCUCCAUCUUUGGAGAUAUUGAAACCACAGUUGGAUGUGGUCCUGAGCGGUCUGCUUCAAGUGGUCCUGCUACUGAGGAGGGGGAUUGGAUCAGACAAUCUCCAGAGGAUGAUUCCAAACUCAUCCUUUCUGUAAUUCAAGGAUGCAGAAGUGCCAUAUGACUUGGAAAAGCUUUUUAUGUUAAGGGUAUAAACAUAUAAAAUUAUCUAUUGUCAUUAUUUGGUAGGAAAUAUCUUAAAUAAUAAAUAUCUUAAUUUUAAAUAUGUUUAUUUUGUC
rnacentral:lncRNA from 1 species